AUUGAACGCUGGCGGCAGGCCUAACACAUGCAAGUCGAGCGGAUGAAGGGAGCUUGCUCCUGGAUUCAGCGGCGGACGGGUGAGUAAUGCCUAGGAAUCUGCCUGGUAGUGGGGGAUAACGUCCGGAAACGGGCGCUAAUACCGCAUACGUCCUGAGGGAGAAAGUGGGGGAUCUUCGGACCUCACGCUAUCAGAUGAGCCUAGGUCGGAUUAGCUAGUUGGUGGGGUAAAGGCCUACCAAGGCGACGAUCCGUAACUGGUCUGAGAGGAUGAUCAGUCACACUGGAACUGAGACACGGUCCAGAUUCCUACGGGAGGCAGCAGUGGGGAAUAUUCGCCAAUGGGCGAAAGCCUGAUCCAGCCAUGCCGCGUGUGUGAAGAAGGUCUUCGGAUUUUAAAGCACUUUAAGUUGGGAGGAAGGGCAGUAAGUUAAUACCUUGCUGUUUUGACGUUACCAACAGAAUAAGCACCGGCUAACUUCGUG
rnacentral:rRNA from 1 species